AACGCACAUUGCGCCCGCCAGUAUUCUGGCGGGCAUGCCUGUUCGAGCGUCAUUUCAACCCUCAAGCCUGGCUUGGUGUUGGGGCCUUGCGGCUACCGCAAGCCCUGAAAAGCAGUGGCGGGCUCGCUAUAACUCCGAGCGUAGUAACAUAUCUCGUUCUGGAAGGAUGGUGGGUGCCGGCCGUUAAAACCCCUACUUUUUUAAGGUUGACCUCGGAUCAGGUAGGAAUACCCGCUGAACUUAA
rnacentral:misc_RNA from 1 species